UACGCUGCAAGGCAUGUGUACCUAGCAGUGUCUUUCUGAUGUAUUCAAAAAGCGGCACUGCAGUGUUUCAGCUGCUGGCAUCCUGGUUUUCAUGUGGACAUGCUGAUUUAACUUGGUGUUUCUGUUGAAACAAGU